rnacentral:lncRNA from 1 species
CUUAAUCUUAAUCCUUUUUGUUAACUAAUUUAUAUUGUGUAUUAAAAUGGGCGUAUCGAUGUUACAUACAAUGUUUUGUACUAAGUUCAUUUUAUCUUUAUAAAGGUCCUGUGGGGAGUUUUUUUCCCCUGGUAUUUAAAAAGUCUUACUAGGAUUGAUGCGAGCUAGAACGGAAAUUUUCAUUGAAAACAUCAAAGUUUAUAUCAUUCCUUAUCACCUUUAUAUGAGCUGCGUUAAACAGAAAUCGAUCUUAUGCAAAUUAAAAUAAAUACAUCUUUUAACCUAUUUCGGAUUGAAAAAACUCUACAAAAAGUCUAAAGGUUGCACUUUGUAAAUACAGCUGUUUCUCAAACCACGCCUCUUUUGGUGAGAUUUAUAAUAUUCAUAGAUAUGUUAAUUUGUUCACGUACUGGUUUCCAUAUAUGAUAUCUGGUUAACAUUUUUCGUAUAUAUGAACGUAUAUACAUGCUAUUGCAUAACGUCGAUGUCAAUCCAACCCAGCUCAUAUGUUGAAUUGUAAGUGAGCAGCUAUACUAUGGCACUUUGAUGCCCAUUGUAUUCUGAAUUAUAAAUCAAGCAAAUACCAUACUUCAAUUCCUGUUCAGACAUAAGUCGGUAACAUAUAACUAUGCAUUUUUUUUUAACUUAGAAUAAAUAUUUGCAUUAAGGCCUGAUACUUCCUGAAACUAUUCCAAACUGCAAACACUGUCUCACUUUGUGAUUUAAAUUUGUGAUUCAUAUAACGGUAUCUAAAAUGACAGAACUUAAAUAUUUGUCUUGCUACGAGAUGUUUUGUUUCAAGAUAGUAAUUGCGGUAAAAGAGUGGCGAAAGCUUGCAGGGGUACAUUCCUGAUUACAUGAUCGAAUCAACAUUUUAAAAUAGUUUAUCUUGGGAUUUUAAAUGGCAGGUUCUUUUAAACAAGAUAAAAUGAACUUAGAUAUUUUUAAAAGUAUUUUCCUUGUCAGUUCAUUUUUUGCC